rnacentral:lncRNA from 1 species
AGAACAAAUAAAUAUUCUAUUUUUAUCUUAUAAAUAUUCAUUUAAGCUUCGAUAUAUUUCUUAAUUAAAUUCAAUGCAAGGAACUCUCAACCAAUCGGCACAGGGGCAAUAACGAGAAUGUAACUUAUUGAUAUUUACACUGUAUGUCUAAAACUAUGUUAAAUUAAUUUCAUUAGAUAUCGAAUUUUCUGAAAUUAGAAAAAAAUAUUGCAUAUGAACAAUUUUUUGCAAUAAUUCCUAUUAAAUGAGUCUUGAAAAACUAUAACUUUUAACAUUUCAAAGGAAAAGAAAUACAGUAAUUUAUUAUAAUUUAGGGAAAUUUCCUGAUUAAUAUUCAUAGUUACGUUUUUCUAAAGUAAAUACUCUAUUAGAUAAGAGACAAAUUAAGUA